GAUGAACGCUGGCGGCGUGCCUAAUACAUGCAAGUCGAGCGAACAGACGAGGAGCUUGCUCCUCUGACGUUAGCGGCGGACGGGUGAGUAACACGUGGAUAACCUACCUAUAAGACUGGGAUAACUUCGGGAAACCGGAGCUAAUACCGGAUAAUAUAUUGAACCGCAUGGUUCAAUAGUGAAAGACGGUUUUGCUGUCACUUAUAGCUGGAUCCGCGCCGCAUUAGCUAGUUGGUAAGGUAACGGCUUACCAAGGCAACGAUGCGUAGCCGACCUGAGAGGGGGAUCGGCCACACUGGAGCGGAAACACGGUCCAGACUCCUACGGGAGGCAGCAGUAGGGAAUCUUACGCAAAGGGCGAAAGCCUGACGGAGCAACGCCGCGUGAGUGAUGAAGGUCUUCGGAUCGUAAAACUCUGUUAUUAGGGAAGAACAAAUGUGUAAGUAACUAUGCACGUCUUGACGGUACCUAAUCAGAAAGCCACGGCUAACUACGUG
rnacentral:rRNA from 1 species